AACGAACGCUGGCGGCAUGCCUAACACAUGCAAGUCGAACGAGACCUCCGGGCCUUGUGGCGCACGUGUGCGUAACGCGGGGGAACCUGCCCUUAGGUACGGAAUAACUCCCCGAGAGGGGUGCUAAGACCGGUUAAUGUCUUCGGACCAAAGAUUUAUCGCCUUUGGAUGGGCGCGCGUUGGUUUAGCUAGUUGGUAGGGGACAAGCAUACCAAGGACACGAUCCAGAGCUGGUCUGAGAGGAGGAUCAGCCCCACUGGGACUGCGGCACGGACCAGAAUCGGACGGGAGGGAGGAGUAGGGAAUAUAGGAGGAGGGGCGAAGGUGUGAUCAAGCAGUGCCGGGGGAGUGAUGAAGGGCGUAGGGUUGUAAAGCUCUCUUACCCGGGAUGAUAGUGACAGUACCGGGAGAAUAAGCACCGGCUAACUCCGUG
rnacentral:rRNA from 1 species